rnacentral:rRNA from 1 species
UACAGAGGGGGCAAGCGUUGUUCGGAAUUACUGGGCGUAAAGGGCGCGUAGGCGGCCUGUUAAGUCGAACGUGAAAUCCCCGGGCUCAACCCGGGAACUGCGUCCGAUACUGGCAGGCUUGAAUCCGGGAGAGGGAUGCGGAAUUCCAGGUGUAGCGGUGAGAUGCGUAGAUAUCUGGAGGAACACCGGUGGCGAAGGCGGCAUCCUGGACCGGCAUUGACGCUGAGGCGCGAAAGCUAGGGGAGCAAACGGG